AGGACGAACGCUGGCGGCGUGCUUAACACAUGCAAGUCGAGCGGAUCAUCUUCGGGUGGUUAGUGGCGAACGGGUGAGUAACACGUGGGUAACCUACCCCAGACUCUGGGAUAACUCCGGGAAACCGGGGCUAAUACCGGAUAUCACAUUUGGUUGCAUGACCGGGUGUUGAAAGUUUUUCGGUCUGGGAUGGGCCCGCGGCCUAUCAGCUUGUUGGUGGGGUGAUGGCCUACCAAGGCGUCGACGGGU
rnacentral:rRNA from 1 species